rnacentral:rRNA from 1 species
ACGGGUAAGUAACGCGUGGUCAACCUUCCCUACAGUGGGGGAUAACUAGCCGAAAGGUUAGCUAAUACCGCAUGACAUCUUCGAGAGGCAUCUUUUGAAGAUAAAAGGAGCAAUCCGCUGAAGGACGGGACCGCGUCCCAUUAGCUAGUUGGUGGGGUAAUGGCCUACCAAGGCAACGAUGGGUAGCUGGUUUGAGAGAGCGACCAGCCACACUGGGACUGAGACACGGCCCAG